rnacentral:rRNA from 15 species
NAACCUGGUUGAUCCUGCCAGUAGUCAUAUGCUUGUCUCAAAGAUUAAGCCAUGCAUGUCUAUGUAUAAAUUAUUUUACGAUGAGACUGCGAAUGGCUCAUUAAAUCAGUUAUCGUUUAUUUGAAUAUGACCCUACUACUGGAUAACCGUAGUAAUUCUAGAGCUAAUACAUAUAACCCAUGAAGCCUGCUUUAAGGGCCGUAUUUAUUAGAUACAAAGCCAAUCGGGGCAACCCGUUAGGUGAUUCAUAAUAACUGGCAAAAUCGCAUGCUUUCAAGCGACGAUGAUUCACUCAAAUUUCUGCCCUAUCAACUUUCGAUGGUAAGGUAUUGGCUUACCAUGGUUAUAACGGGUGACGGAGAAUUAGGGUUCGAUUCCGGAGUGGGAGCCUGAGAAACGGCUACCACUUCCAAGGAAGGUAGCAGGCGCGCAAAUUGCCCAAUCCUGACACAGGGAGGUAGUGACAAAAAAUAACAAUCCAGGGCCUUUUGGGUCUUGUAAUUGGAAUGAGUACGAUUUAAACCCUUUAACGAGGAACAAUUGGAGGGCAAGUCUGGUGCCAGCAGCCGCGGUAAAUCCAGCUCCAAUAGCGUAUAUUGAAGUUGUUGCAGUUAAAAAGCUCGUAGUUGGAUUUUGGAUCGGCCUUUUCCGCGAGCUAAACGGUUCGUCGGGAAAGGACGAUCUUCUUUCUCGAAGUCCUCUUCUGCUCUUAAUUGAGUGGGAGAGGAAGUCGAGACGUUUACUGUGAGAAAAUUAGAGUGUUCAAAGCAAGCGUAACGCAUGAAUAUUGCAGCAUGGAAUAAUGGAAUAAGAUCACGGUCUUUUUUCGUUGGUUUAUGAGAUCGAGAUCAUGAUUAAUAAGGACAGUUGGGGGCAUUAAUAUUUAAUUGUCAGAGGUGAAAUUCUUGGAUUUAUGAAAGAUUAGCUUCUGCGAAAGCAUUUGCCAAGGAUGUUUUCGUUAAUCAAGAACGAAAGUUAGGGGAUCGAAGACGAUCAGAUACCGUCGUAGUCUUAACCAUAAACUAUGCCGACUAGGGAUCGGUGGACGUCAAUUACGUGACUCCAUCGGUACCUUGUGAGAAAUCAAAGUUUUUGGGUUCCGGGGGGAGUAUGGUCGCAAGGCUGAAACUUAAAGGAAUUGACGGAAGGGCACCACCAGGAGUGGAGCCUGCGGCUUAAUUUGACUCAACACGGGAAAACUUACCAGGUCCGGACAUAGUAAGGAUUGACAGAUUGAGAGCUCUUUCUUGAUUCUAUGGGUGGUGGUGCAUGGCCGUUCUUAGUUGGUGGAGUGAUUUGUCUGGUUAAUUCCGAUAACGAACGAGACCUUAACCUGCUAAAUAGUAGGCUGAUUUACGAAUCAAGUUCGACUUCUUAGAGGGACAAUUGGUUUUCAACCAAUGGAAGUUUGAGGCAAUAACAGGUCUGUGAUGCCCUUAGGUGUUCUGGGCCGCACGCGCGCUACACUGAUAAAGUCAGCGAGUAUUCAACCCUUUGCCGGAAGGCAUGGGUAAUCUUAUGAAACUUUAUCGUGACCGGGGUAGAUCAUUGCAAUUAUUGGUCUUGAACGAGGAAUUCCUAGUAAGCGCGAAUCAUCAGUUCGCGUUGACUACGUCCCUGCCCUUUGUACACACCGCCCGUCGCUACUACCGAUUGAAUGGUUUAGUGAGGUCUUCGGAACGACGACGAAUCAUGAAAUACUGCCUAGUCGUCGCAAAGUUGGACGAACUCGAUCAUUUAGAGGAAGUAAAAGUCGUAACAAGGUUUCCGUAGGUGAACCUGCAGAAGGAUCANNNN